rnacentral:rRNA from 1 species
CUUGGCUUUUUUAGAGGAAGAAAAAGUCGUAACAAGGUUUCCGUAGGUGAACCUGCGGAAGGAUCAUUAAUGUAACCGGACCGGUCCUCUGCCGUAAAACGCAGCGGAUGGGAAUGGGAGAUAUCAUACACCCUAUGUUUAUUUACUUUUGUUGCUUUGGCGGGCCGUCCUUCUAGGCGUCGGCCCCGGCUGAUCGCGCCCGCCAGAGGACCCAAACUCUUUUAUCAGUGAUGUCUGAGUACUAUAAUAAUAGUUAAAACUUUCAACAACGGAUCUCUUGGUUCUGGCAUCGAUGAAGAACGCAGCGAAAUGCGAUAAGUAAUGUGAAUUGCAGAAUUCAGUGAAUCAUCGAAUCUUUGAACGCACAUUGCGCCCGCUGGUAUUCCGGCGGGCAUGCCUGUUCGAGCGUCAUUAUGACCAAUCAAGCUCUGCUUGGCCUUGGGGCCCGCUGUACCGGCGGCCCUUAAAAUCAGUGGCGGUGCCGUCUGGCUCUAAGCGUAGUAAUACUUCUCGCUACAGGGUCCAGCCGUCCACCCGCCAGAACCCCCAACUUUCUUAGGUUGACCUCGGAUCAGGUAGGGAUACCCGCUGAACUUAAGCAUAUCAAUAAGCGGAGGA